rnacentral:tRNA from 1 species
ACGGGUGUAGUUUAAUGGUAGAAUAGUGGUCUCCAAAACCAUUGAUGGGAGUUCGAUUCUCUCCGCCCGUG